rnacentral:rRNA from 1 species
UACGGGGGGGCAAGCGUUGUUCGGAAUUACUGGGCGUAAAGGGCUCGUAGGUGGCCAACUAAGUCGGACGUGAAAUCCCUCAGCUUAACUGGGGAACUGCGUCCGAUACUGGAUGGCUUGAGUUUGGAAUAGGGAUGCGGAAUUCCAGGUGUAGCGGUGAAAUGCGUAGAUAUCUGGAGGAACACCGGUGGCGAAGGCGGCAUCCUGGACCAACACUGACACUGAGGAGCGAAAGCCAGGGGAGCAAACGGG